rnacentral:rRNA from 1 species
GAUGAACGCUGGCGGCGUGCCUAAUACAUGCAAGUCGAGCGAACGGACGAGAACCUUGCUUCUCUGAUGUUAGCGGCGGACGGGUGAGUAACACGUGGAUAACCUACCUAUAAGACUGGGAUAACUUCGGGAAACCGGAGCUAAUACCGGAUAAUAUUUUGAACCGCAUGGUUCAAAAGUGAAAGACGGUCUUGCUGUCACUUAUAGAUGGAUCCGCGCUGCAUUAGCUAGUUGGUAAGGUAACGGCUUACCAAGGCAACGAUGCAUAGCCGACCUGAGAGGGUGAUCGGCCACACUGGAACUGAGACACGGUCCAGACUCCUACGGGAGGCAGCAGUAGGGAAUCUUCCGCAAUGGGCGAAAGCCUGACGGAGCAACGCCGCGUGAGUGAUGAAGGUCUUCGGAUCGUAAAACUCUGUUAUUAGGGAAGAACAUAUGUGUAAGUAACUGUGCACAUCUUGACGGUACCUAAUCAGAAAGCCACGGCUAACUACGUGCCAGCAGCCGCGGUAAUACGUAGGUGGCAAGCGUUAUCCGGAAUUAUUGGGCGUAAAGCGCGCGUAGGCGGUUUUUUAAGUCUGAUGUGAAAGCCCACGGCUCAACCGUGGAGGGUCAUUGGAAACUGGAAAACUUGAGUGCAGAAGAGGAAAGUGGAAUUCCAUGUGUAGCGGUGAAAUGCGCAGAGAUAUGGAGGAACACCAGUGGCGAAGGCGACUUUCUGGUCUGUAACUGACGCUGAUGUGCGAAAGCGUGGGGAUCAAACAGGAUUAGAUACCCUGGUAGUCCACGCCGUAAACGAUGAGUGCUAAGUGUUAGGGGGUUUCCGCCCCUUAGUGCUGCAGCUAACGCAUUAAGCACUCCGCCUGGGGAGUACGACCGCAAGGUUGAAACUCAAAGGAAUUGACGGGGACCCGCACAAGCGGUGGAGCAUGUGGUUUAAUUCGAAGCAACGCGAAGAACCUUACCAAAUCUUGACAUCCUUUGACAACUCUAGAGAUAGAGCCUUCCCCUUCGGGGGACAAAGUGACAGGUGGUGCAUGGUUGUCGUCAGCUCGUGUCGUGAGAUGUUGGGUUAAGUCCCGCAACGAGCGCAACCCUUAAGCUUAGUUGCCAUCAUUAAGUUGGGCACUCUAAGUUGACUGCCGGUGACAAACCGGAGGAAGGUGGGGAUGACGUCAAAUCAUCAUGCCCCUUAUGAUUUGGGCUACACACGUGCUACAAUGGACAAUACAAAGGGCAGCGAAACCGCGAGGUCAAGCAAAUCCCAUAAAGUUGUUCUCAGUUCGGAUUGUAGUCUGCAACUCGACUACAUGAAGCUGGAAUCGCUAGUAAUCGUAGAUCAGCAUGCUACGAUGAAUACGUUCCCGGGUCU